CACGCGUCGGCCACUCCACCUCGGGCGCUCUGAAGCCGGCCGCAUGGAGACUGGGGGACGAUGGCCAAGGGACAGUGGAAAAAUGGCAGGGCAGACCCCCUUGGAUUUGCCCACGUGGAGUUUGGAUAUUUACCUGGCUUCUUUGUCAAGUCUUGGGCCUGAUGCAGGUUGCAGACGUAUGGCCACCGGUUCAUGUAGUCAACAGGUCAGGGGGGCUGUUGCCACCGAAGGAAGGGGGAUAGUGCUGACAAGACUGAUGGUAAUGAUGACAUCUAACGUACAUGGAGCAGCUCUAUCUGCCAGACACUAAGCUCACACUGCAAGUGCCUUCUCCCAGAAGACUUGAUACCGGGAUAUCCUGAGAGCCAAAUCAAAAGCUGCUUUCCACCAGGAGCUUAAGGGAGCACUGAAGAAGACCAAAGGAACUGUGACUCCCUAAGCUCAGGGAAUAGUCAAUAAAUCUCUUUGCUGGCCCGCUGGCAUAGGCUUGUAGUCUCAGCGACUUAUGAGUUGAGGCAGAAGGAUAAGUAGUUCAAGGCCAGCCUUGUCAACUUACCAAAACUGUCUCAAAUUUUUGAAAAAGAAAAGCAGAGUAGGGAAUAUCAGGCAAGGAUAGAAUGCUUACCCAGCAUGCACCAGGUCACCGAGUCAAUCCCUAGAACUGAAGAGAAAAGUGAUCUCCUCUUUAAAAGGAACUAUUUUCUGACUAUCCUGGAAAUGGAUGGUUCUAGAAGAGUUUCAUACUCAACCCUGAGACUUGUGGGAAAUCUCAGAUUUGGAGUCUUCGUAGCUAACCACUUCAGGUAUAGUGUCCCCAACUGGGAUGACAGAUAGGAACCUCACAGUGUCCCCAGUCUCAUGUUCCUUUUGCCUUAGGAAAUCCUUGGGGUCUAAAACUGCACCAAGUAUAAGAGAUAACUCCCCUUACCUCCUUGGAGAUGAGGAUUGGUACCAUUAUGUACAGACUUUAGGCAGGGUGCUCAAGUCCUCCCUCACCCAUCUCUUCUUGUCUAACCUAAGGGAUAAAGAGCUUGCUUUCAAAUGUUAUUAACACUGGGACAAUGGGCAAGAGAACACUAAUGUUUCGUGAUGCAUGAAAUAAAAAGAAAUUUACAUUUAA
ensembl:processed_transcript BC006965 cDNA sequence BC006965